GACAGAGGGUGCAAGCGUUGUUCGGAAUCAUUGGGCGUAAAGGGCGCGUAGGCGGUUUUGUAAGUCAGAUGUGAAAGCCCAGGGCUUAACCUUGGAAGUGCAUCUGAAACUGUAUGACUGGAGUCUCGGAGAGGGUGGUGGAAUUCCCAGUGUAGAGGUGAAAUUCGUAGAUAUUGGGAGGAACACCGGUGGCGAAGGCGACCACCUGGACGAAGACUGACGCUGAGGCGCGAGAGCGUGGGGAGCAAACAGG
rnacentral:rRNA from 1 species